rnacentral:sRNA from 1 species
UCAAUACGCAAUUAUACUUCCUAAUAAAUUAUAUUAUAAAUAUUUUACGAUUUUCGACUCGGACUAUACAAUAGACUGACAUACUAUUAUUAACUUAACAUUCAAAUAUAUACAUCCAUUAACAUUAGCAUAGUCACUAUGUUUCAUUCAACAAAUUACAUUAUCGAACUAUGAAAUAGUCAUAAUUUGCUUUUGGAGUAUAAAAAAGCACUUGUGCAAAAACACAAGUGCUUUAAACUUAAUUUAUUGUUCACUAGUUUGAAUCAAGCCAUAUUUACCGUCUUUACGGCGGUAAACGAUACUUGUUCCAUCAGUUUCUCUGUCUGUGAAUACAAAGAAGUCAUGACCUAAUAGAUUCAUUUGUAAUACCGCUUCUUCUGAAUCCAUUGGUUUUAAGCUGAAUUCUUUUGAACGAAUAAUUUCUAUCUCGU